rnacentral:rRNA from 1 species
AUUGAACGCUGGCGGCAGGCCUAACACAUGCAAGUCGAGCGGAUGAAGAGAGCUUGCUCACUGAUUCAGCGGCGGACGGGUGAGUAAUGCCUAGGAAUCUGCCUGGUAGUGGGGGACAACGUUUCGAAAGGAACGCUAAUACCGCAUACGUCCGACGGGAGAAAGCAGGGGACCUUCGGGCCUUGCGCUAUCAGAUGAGCCUAGGUCGGAUUAGCGAGUAGGUGAGGUAAAGGCGAACCUAGGCGACGAGCCGUAACUGGUCUGAGAGGAUGAUCAGUCACACUGGAACUGAGACACGGUCCAGACUCCUACGGGAGGCAGCAGUGGGGAAUAUUGGACAAUGGGCGAAAGCCUGAUCCAGCCAUGCCGCGUGUGUGAAGAAGGUCUUCGGAUUGUAAAGCACUUUAAGUUGGGAGGAAGGGCAGUAAGUUAAUACCUUGCUGUUUUGACGUUACCAACAGAAUAAGCACCGGCUAACUUCGUGCCAGCAGCCGCCGUAAUAC